rnacentral:lncRNA from 1 species
GGCAGGCUUUCGAGUUAUAUAUCGAUAUAAACAACAUAAAGAUUCAUUGAUAAGCAUUAAAGGAGAGACUACUUAAUAAUUAGAGAGAGAUUAGAGGAGACAAUAAUAAUUGAUGAUGAUGAAUAAUCGAACAAACAGAAAGGAGAGAAGCGGAAAGAAAGGCAUGUCCAGUAGUGAUGGCAUGUAGAAACCUAUAACAUGGGAUCAUUCCAAUAGCGUUUUCCAACGCCACCAGCUGUGUAAUUUCGCUACACCGAAUCAUUAUGUU